GAAUAUUGCGCGAUGGGGGAAACCCUGACGCAGCGACGCCGCGUGAGCGAAGAGGGCCUUAGGGUUGUAAAGCUCUGUUUUAGGGGACGAAUGUCGUGGGGAGUAAUAUGACCUACGAAUGACGGUACCCUAAGAGGAAGCCCCGGCUAACUACGUGCCAGCAGCCGCGGUAAGACGUAGGGGGCGAGCGUUGUCCGGAAUUACUGGGCGUAAAGAGCACGUAGGCGGGAACCUAAGUCAGGUGUGAAAGACCGUGGCUCAACCACGGGGUGGCAUGUGAAACUGGGUUUCUCGAGGGCAGGAGAGGAAAGCAGAAGUCCUGGUGUAGCGGUGAAAUGCGUAGAAAUCAGGAGGAAUACCAGUGGCGAAGGCGGCUUUCUGGACUGACCCUGACGCUGAGGUGCGAAAG
rnacentral:rRNA from 1 species